rnacentral:rRNA from 1 species
GAUGAACGCUGGCGGCGUGCUUAACACAUGCAAGUCGAACGAUGAUCCCGUGCUUGCACGGGUGAUUAGUGGCGAACGGGUGAGUAACACGUGAGUAACCUGCCCCUGACUUCGGGAUAAGCCUGGGAAACUGGGUCUAAUACCGGAUAUGCACCGUGGACCGCAUGGUCCUUGGUGGAAAGACUUGUUGGUCAGGGAUGGACUCGCGGCCUAUCAGCUUGUUGGUGAGGUAAUGGCUCACCAAGGCGACGACGGGUAGCCGGCCUGAGAGGGUGACCGGCCACACUGAGACUGAGACACGGCCCAGACUCCUACGGGAGGCAGCAGUGGGGAAUAUUGCACAAUGGGCGAAAGCCUGAUGCAGCGACGCCGCGUGAGGGAUGACGGCCUUCGGGUUGUAAACCUCUUUCAGUAGGGAAGAAGCGAAAGUGACGGUACCUGCAGAAGAAGCGCCGGCUAACUACGUGCCAGCAGCCGCGGUAAUACGUAGGGCGCAAGCGUUAUCCGGAAUUAUUGGGCGUAAAGAGCUCGUAGGCGGUUUGUCGCGUCUAUCGUGAAAGUCCGAGGCUCAACCUCGGAUCUGCGGUGGGUACGGGCAGACUAGAGUGAUGUAGGGGAGACUGGAAUUCCUGGUGUAGCGGUGAAAUGCGCAGAUAUCAGGAGGAACACCGAUGGCGAAGGCAGGUCUCUGGGCAUUAACUGACGCUGAGGAGCG